rnacentral:rRNA from 1 species
AGUGAACGCUGGCGGUAGGCCUAACACAUGCAAGUCGAACGGCAGCACAGUAAGAGUUUGCUCUUACGGGUGGCGAGUGGCGGACGGGUGAGGAAUACAUCGGAAUCUAUUUUUUCGUGGGGGAUAACGUAGGGAAACUUACGCUAAUACCGCAUACGACCUACGGGUGAAAGCAGGGGAUCUUCGGACCUUGCGCGAUUGAAUGAGUCGAUGUCGGAUUAGCUGGUUGGCGGGGUAAAGGCUCACCAAGGCGACGCUCCGUAGCUGGUCUGAGAGGAUGAUCAGCCACACUGGAACUGAGACACGGUCCAGACUCCUACGGGAGGCAGCAGUGGGGAAUAUUGGACAAUGGGCGCAAGCCUGAUCCAGCCAUACCGCGUGGGUGAAGAAGGCCUUCGGGUUGUAAAGCCCUUUUGUUGGGAAAGAAAAGCAGCAGGUUAAUACCCCGCUGUUCUGACGGUACCCAAUAAAUAAGCACCGGCUAACUUCGUG